ACGGCGGAACCGAAAAGCCAAUAGAGUAGGAA
rfam:Flavobacterium indicum GPTSA100-9 complete genome